GAGAGUUAAACAGUACGUGAAAUUGUUGAAAGGGAAACGAUUGAAGUCAGUCGUGCCAGCGGGAAAUCAACCUUUCGAGUGGGGGUUUUGGAGUUUUGAAGAGUGUCAAAACCUUUGAGAUUUCAAAAUUUUUGCUCUUUUGGUGUACUUUCUCGUGGGUAGGUUAACAUCGAUUUUUGAUCAUCAUAAAAAGAUUGGAGGAAUGUAGCUUCGAUCUUGUAUUGAAGUGUUAUAGCCUUUGGUAAAUGUGAUGAUUAGGAUCGAGGAUUGCAACGAAUACCCUUUUGGGCUAUCCGCCUGAUCUCUGAUACGUGGCCUUGGUAUCGAAAGCGUGCUUAUGGUAUUAAGGUAUUACGGUCAAAAGGUUAGAACGGAUUACAUUCGUUAAGGAUGUUGACGUAAUGGCUUUAAACGA
rnacentral:rRNA from 1 species